rnacentral:rRNA from 1 species
UGGGGAAUAUUGCGCAAUGGGCGAAAGCCUGACGCAGCAACGCCGCGUGAGUGAUGAAGGCCUUCGGGUUGUAAAGCUCUUUCGGUUGGGAAGAAGGGUGUGCGAGCGAAGAGGUCGUACAUUUGAUGGUACCAAAAGAAGAAGCACCGGCUAACUUCGUGCCAGCAGCCGCGGUAAUACGAAGGGUGCGAGCGUUGUUCGGAAUUACUGGGCGUAAAGGGUUCGUAGGCGGGAACUUAAGUCAAGUGUGAAAUCCCCAGGCUCAACCUGGGACGUGCACUUGAAACUGAGUUUCUUGAGUGAUGGAGAGGGCGAUGGAAUUGCUGGUGUAGGAGUGACAUCCGUAGAGAUCAGCAGGAACACCGGAGGCGAAGGCGAUCGCCUGGCCAUUUACUGACGC